UUUAAAUUGAGAGUUUGAUCCUGGCUCAGGAUGAACGCUGGUGGCGUGCCUAAUACAUGCAAGUCGUACGCUAGCCGCUGAAUUGAUCCUUCGGGUGAAGUGAGGCAAUGACUAGAGUGGCGAACUGGUGAGUAACACGUAAGAAACCUGCCCUUUAGUGGGGGAUAACAUUUGGAAACAGAUGCUAAUACCGCGUAACAACAAAUCACACAUGUGAUCUGUUUGAAAGGUCCUUUUGGAUCGCUAGAGGAUGGUCUUGCGGCGUAUUAGCUUGUUGGUAGGGUAGAAGCCUACCAAGGCAAUGAUGCGUAGCCGAGUUGAGAGACUGGCCGGCCACAUUGGGACUGAGACACUGCCCAAACUCCUACGGGAGGCUGCAGUAGGGAAUUUUCCGCAAUGCACGAAAGUGUGACGGAGCGACGCCGCGUGUGUGAUGAAGGCUUUCGGGUCGUAAAGCACUGUUGUAAGGGAAGAAUAACUGAAUUCAGAGAAAGUUUUCAGCUUGACGGUACCUUACCAGAAAGGGAUGGCUAAAUACGUGCCAGCAGCCGCGGUAAUACGU
rnacentral:rRNA from 1 species